rnacentral:rRNA from 1 species
UCCUACGGGAGGCAGCAGCAGGGAAUAUUGCGCAAUGAGCGAAAGCUUGACGCAGCGACACCGCGUGUGGGAUGACGGAUCUAGGUUUGUAAACCACUUUCAGGAGGGAAGAAAAUGACGGUACCUCCACAAGAAGCCCCGGCCAACUACGUGCCAGCAGCCGCGGUAAUACGUAGGGGGCGAGCGUUGUCCGGAUUUAUUGGGCGUAAAGAGCUCGUAGGCGGUUCAACAAGUCGGUCGUGAAAGUUCAGGGCUCAACCCUGAAAUGUCGAUCGAUACUGUUGUGACUAGGAUACGGUAGAGGUGAGUGGAAUUCCGAGUGUAGCGGUGAAAUGCGUAGAUAUUCGGAGGAACACCAAUAGCGAAGGCAGCUCACUGGGCCGCUAUCGACGCUGAGGAGCGAAAGCUAGGGGAGCAAACAGGAUUAGAUACCCUGGUAGUCCUAGCUGUAAACGAUGGAUACUAGACGUAGGAACUGGAUUGACGGUUUCUGUGUCGCAGCUAACGCGUUAAGUAUCCCGCCUGGGGAGUACGGUCGCAAGACUAAAACUCA